AUUGAACGCUGGCGGCAUGCUUUACACAUGCAAGUCGAACGGUAACAGGUCUUCGGAUGCUGACGAGUGGCGAACGGGUGAGUAAUACAUCGGAACGUGCCUAGUAGUGGGGGGUAACUACUCGAAAGAGUAGCUAAUACCGCAUGAGAUCUACGGAUGAAAGCAGGGGACCUUCGGGCCUUGUGCUACUAGAGCGGCUGAUGGCAGAUUAGGUAGGUGGUGGGGUAAAGGCUUACCAAGCCUGCGAUCUGUAGCUGGUCUGAGAGGACGACCAGCCACACUGGGACUGAGACACGGCCCAGACUCCUACGGGAGGCAGCAGUGGGGAAUUUUGGACAAUGGGCGAAAGCCUGAUCCAGCAAUGCCGCGUGCAGGAUGAAGGCCCUCGGGUUGUAAACUGCUUUUGUACGGAACGAAAAGCCUGGGGCUAAUAUCCCCGGGUCAUGACGGUACCGUAAGAAUAAGCACCGGCUAACUACGUGCCAGCCGCCGCGGUAAGAC
rnacentral:rRNA from 1 species